rnacentral:rRNA from 1 species
GGCUCAGGAUGAACGCUAGCGACAGGCUUAACACAUGCAAGUCGAGGGGCAGCGGGGGUAGCAAUACCCGCCGGCGACCGGCGCACGGGUGAGUAACGCGUAUGCAACUUACCUAUCAGAGGGGGAUAACCCGGCGAAAGUCGGACUAAUACCGCAUGAAGCAGGGAUCCCGCAUGGGAAUAUUUGCUAAAGAUUCAUCGCUGAUAGAUAGGCAUGCGUUCCAUUAGGCAGUUGGCGGGGUAACGGCCCACCAAACCGACGAUGGAUAGGGGUUCUGAGAGGAAGGUCCCCCACAUUGGUACUGAGACACGGACCAAACUCCUACGGGAGGCAGCAGUGAGGAAUAUUGGUCAAUGGCCGAGAGGCUGAACCAGCCAAGUCGCGUGAGGGAUGAAGGUUCUAUGGAUCGUAAACCUCUUUUAUAAGGGAAUAAAGUGCGGGACGUGUCCCGUUUUGUAUGUACCUUAUGAAUAAGGAUCGGCUAACUCCGUGCCAGCAGCCGCGGUAAUACGGAGGAUCCGAGCGUUAUCCGGAUUUAUUGGGUUUAAAGGGUGCGUAGGCGGCCUUUUAAGUCAGCGGUGAAAGUCUGUGGCUCAACCAUAGAAUUGCCGUUGAAACUGGGGGGCUUGAGUAUGUUUGAGGCAGGCGGAAUGCGUGGUGUAGCGGUGAAAUGCAUAGAUAUCACGCAGAACCCCGAUUGCGAAGGCAGCCUGCCAAGCCAUGACUGACGCUGAUGCACGAAAGCGUGGGGAUCAAACAGGAUUAGAUACCCUGGUAGUCCACGCAGUAAACGAUGAUCACUAGCUGUUUGCGAUACACUGUAAGCGGCACAGCGAAAGCGUUAAGUGAUCCACCUGGGGAGUACGCCGGCAACGGUGAAACUCAAAGGAAUUGACGGGGGCCCGCACAAGCGGAGGAACAUGUGGUUUAAUUCGAUGAUACGCGAGGAACCUUACCCGGGUUUGAACGCAUUCGGACCGAGGUGGAAACACCUUUUCUAGCAAUAGCCGUUUGCGAGGUGCUGCAUGGUUGUCGUCAGCUCGUGCCGUGAGGUGUCGGCUUAAGUGCCAUAACGAGCGCAACCCUUGCCACUAGUUACUAACAGGUAAAGCUGAGGACUCUGGUGGGACUGCCAGCGUAAGCUGCGAGGAAGGCGGGGAUGACGUCAAAUCAGCACGGCCCUUACAUCCGGGGCGACACACGUGUUACAAUGGCGUGGACAAAGGGAAGCCACCUGGCGACAGGGAGCGAAUCCCCAAACCACGUCUCAGUUCGGAUCGGAGUCUGCAACCCGACUCCGUGAAGCUGGAUUCGCUAGUAAUCGCGCAUCAGCCAUGGCGCGGUGAAUACGUUCCCGGGCCUUGUACACACCGCCCGUCAAGCCAUGGGAGCCGGGGGUACCUGAAGUCCGUAACCGCGAGGAUCGGCCUAGGGUAAAACUGGUGA